UUUCUCAAGGAUUUAUAUACCUUAAAUACAUAAUCAAAUAUCUACAUAAGUUCCGUGAUUUAACAAGUCAAACUAAACAUGAUAUUGGUAAAAAUUACCCAAACACGUUUGAACAAAAAUUUUGGACAGAUUCACUGUUCCGAGUUAUGACCCAGCUUUGAAGAUCUAUACAGAGAAACUAGAUUUUAUGGUAUUCAUAAAAGUUGUAGGUAUAUGUCUUAGAAUUUCAAAA
rnacentral:lncRNA from 1 species